GCCCUCCUUCACAGAGAAGCGGACCGAGAAAGGGGGGAACCGUUUCAAGGAACGAUGCAUUUUGGAUAAAAUUAGCACACUUGCAUCGCCGUAUGUAUACCCUUCAUGUUUCUAAGUCAACCAUCUACCCUGGUAGAGAAUUGGAUUCGUAAAAGAGCCUAAUAAGAACGAGUCUCUUUGGACUCGUGAGAAUAAGACAGGCUAACCAGGCAGGCGCAAACUCAUUCGUUCAUUAGUUGAAUGAUAUAACGAUGACGUAGGAGAUAUCGUGACAAGAGGAGUUGAAAGUAAAUAGUAUACGUGCAUUGGAUAGAAAAAGUUCAAAUUGAUUCUUUUUCACGUACGGUACUUCCUCUUUUUUUCUUUCUUUAAGUUUAACUUCCGCCGGGAGAUCUACGGACGAUGGAUAUUGAGAAAAUGAUAAUAAAGAACAUACAUCGAUCUCAGCGCUACGAGAGUGGAAUGGGAAAGCUUUGCUUUACGUACAUAAAAGAGGUGGUGGUAAACAGAAGUGGAAGAGGUAUUAGCGAAGAGAGGUGAUGGUCAAAAGGAGGGAAGGGGAGAUUUUGCCUUCCAGGAAAAUGCCCAUGACCGUCUAGGCUUACCGAGUAAUGGUAGAGUCAUUAAGGUUUACCAAUUUUACGAUGGUACGUAAGACGAGUUUCUUUCGUUAUUUCAUUCUCUUUACAAUAGAGAGGUAACCUUUAGUCGGUGGAAAUUGCGGGACUUCUUGGAAAUCAGGAUACCAGAGGAAGAGAGGGAGAGAGGGGGAGGGGGUGGAGAGAGAGAGAGAGAGAGAGAGAGAGAUCACGAAAUGCUCGCAUGAAACACGGAUUUCUCGGCGUAUGCGCCGCGAAAUGAGAUCAUGUUGUUUUUGUGGCAUGGAGUCGACGGUUAAUACGUUUAGCUACGCGUCCGCGCGGUUGCCAUGCUUCUCUACGUCUUGCGCGUAGGCCAACUCGCGAGGCGAUGACGCAAGCUGCGCGUUGGCACGUAUACAUACUUCUUCGACGAAAGAGAGAAGCGACAAGAGGACACGACGGACGAACGAACGAACGGAGCUGGCUAGCUAGCUAGCUAGCUAGCUAGCGAUCGACGUGACUUGGAAUGGACGGAGAGAAGAGAGAGGGAGGUAGAGGUAAUUCCCAACAUAAAAGUACCUUGCCGUCUUCCAAGAAUUUUGACGGUUAGAUCGGAGUCAGGCUCUCCGAAGGCUUCCGGCCUUCCGAUCGACGGCCAUGAGAGAGAGGAACACACCUGCUUCGUCGUUCGAUCCGACCUUCGUACCGCAACGACUCAUCGUUUUGGCAUUCGGCGGCGAUCGGAUUCUCGAGCGAUGAUUACGAUCUUUUCACGCGCCACGGAGAAUUUCAUCAUCAUUUCGGAUAAUCGGAUAGAUAUCGCGGAAAGAAUGCUUUCUUAUUUUUUACUUGAUGCAUUUUUCGUUCUCAUGUAAAUUGUAAUCUAAAUUCUGUUAAAUAAUAGAGUUGUUGAACGAAGAGAAAGGAUAGAUAGAGAAAGGAAGGAGAUAGAGAGCGAGAGAGAAAGAGUAGAUUGAUGCGACGGACGUGGCGCAGCAGCAACGGCAGCAACAGCAGCAGCAGCAGCAGCAGCAACAGCAGCAGCAGCAGCAGCAGCAGCAGCAGCUAAGUCAGACCGGCAGUCGCCUAGCGCGCCACGACGGCUGGCACGGCUCGUCGGAUUUGUCCUUGGGAUCGAGAAGGUAGGCACAGCCCAAGGAAAGAGAUGUGGCAACGUGGCAGGCAGCAGGCAGAGCUCCCCCUCCUUUGUCCGUCGUCGGCCGGUCUUGCCAGACAGGGUGUCGCCAGCUCGGUCGGCCCGGUCGGCCGGGUUUGUGCGAGGGAGAGAGGAGAUCGACGGGUGAAAGGAGGAAAGGGGCAGGGGUACAGGCUGUGGCAGCAGGAGGUGGAGGAGGAGGGGGGGUUCCGGUAUGUGUGCUGCUAGUCGCGGGAAGGGCAAAGCGAAUCGUGCUCGUAGAGCGGAGAAGAGAGUCCGGGGAUGGAUGAGAAGGAAAGAGAGAGAGAGAGAGAGAGGGAGAGAGAGAACUCCGCUCUCUGCGUAUCGUAGGAUCGGUCGUGGACCUACAUUCACGCGGGUAGCCAUGUUUGAAAACUCGCGUCCCGCUGGAAUGUGCCUAAGGGGGCCCCUACCCCUCUCUCUUUUUCCUUCCUUCGCCAUUCUACGGUCCCGUCGACGAUCUUCCGAUGCCUUUUGCUUUCCCCUCCAUACAAGAGUUGGCGCCCCAAAUGGUCGCGUAACCAGAGACGUGCCUCUGGCCUGCCCUGGUCGCGCCAGACUUCUCGGCGCCCAAAUGAUGUACGCCGACCAUUCCCUCUCUUUCUCUCUCUCUUUUUCUCUUUUUCUUUCUUCCUCCUACUCAUUCUAUUCGUCUCGUUCCCAUUGCUUUCCUUUUUCUUCCAGCAUACGUACAUAUACUUAUACACCUUCCAAUGAAGUCCAAAGAACCGAACACACAUUGUUUAACUUUUUGGCACCUUCAAUACGGGAAUCUUCUUUUAUAAUACCAAAGUCGAAGUCCUUUGAAAGAGAACACGUUGGUGUUUCGGCUGUCCCGUAACACAUUGUACGAGAAAGGACAGAGGGUACAUAGUCAAGGUUCGUAAAAGUUCUUGAGAAGACGAGACCGAUUGGCCGUCAGAAAGAGACGUACCGCUUUGUUAACAUAAGAGAGGACGAUGGCGAUGACGAAUUGAAUUUUGUCUCAGAUCGCAGUUCUUUCUGAAUUUUACGACAAGCUUCUGUGCUUACUCGCCUCUCUGCUUUUGCAUUUCUGGUUUAAGUUGAAAUGAAUUUUCUAACGAAGUCUCGAACUUCGCGUUGCUCUUUGCGCCGGACUUUGAAAAGACUCCGCUAUCAGCUCAUACGAGACUUCUUAUCUCAAGUUUCCUUUGAAGAAAAAAAACAAAAAAAAAGAAAAAGAAGAAAAUAAAAAAAAAAAAAAUCAUUGCUCGAGAAACGAUGAGUCUGUCCUUCGUAACCGCACGUACCGUACGGUUAUUGUACGUAUGUCGUUCGGUAGAUUACAUCAGUAGCUUGUUAGCUCGAUAACUAGUUAAAAUAAAACUAAUAAGAGUAAUAAUAAUCCAUUCGUUCAAUGAAGAGAAAGAGAGAAAGAGAAAGAGUCAAUGUUCUCGUUAACGACAUGGUAGAUCCGUUCGAAUGUUCUCCUUAAAUGUUUCCAUUUACUUAUCCAAUAAUUAGAUAUGAUAGUUGCGAAAGAUGAUAAUACGCAUCGUACGCGUAUUUUCUUUUCGAUAGGGUGAAAAGUGAGUUUUUGCUUGGCUGCUCUUUCAAAUCGCAAACUCGAGUUUAUACUUUAGUUUAUUUAUGUGCACGCCGCCGACUGGGAGAGCGCCACACGUGCAACCACGUACACAUAUGCGUCUCGCAUAUUCCGUUGUGUUCGUACGUUUAUCGGUGUGGCGCGUUUACGACAUUCGUGCGUAGUAGUGCGUAUUUUCCCACACAUUCAUGAAUCAAGUAAGUAUGUAUGCGCGCGUAUGGUGUCGAACCUAAUCGCGCUUAUACCCAGGGACGCACGCACGCAUCGGUCAUAUUAUAUAUCUCUCACGAAAAUUUAUAUAUCGUGAUAUAAACAAGCUCAUAAUGAUAUAAUAAAUAAGCUAAGUUAAAGGAAAUCUCGUCGUUUUAUAUAGAAAGAAUGAGAAGAGGUAGAGGGGAAGGAGGAGGAAAAAGAAAAAUAGAAAAAAAAAAGAAAAAAAAGCUUAAGGAUAGUUUACAAGUCACGAUGGACGCGAAGAAAGAGAAAUGCCCGGGUGACGUACAUAGCUGGCAUAUACUACGAUAUUUUGAUGACUUUCUCUGUAAAGAAACUAACCGAUGUUCGUAUGCAAAUAAGAGAGAGACAGAGAGAGAGAGAGAGAGAGAGAGAGAAAAGAAACGUUACGAGGAUCUAUUCAAAACUAUCGAUCGAUAAUCAUUAGUUUGACCUUGAAAUUCAAACACAAUUUGUAUUUCAUACGUAUCAGUAAUAAUAUUAUUUAUAGAUAUAAUAAAAUUUUCAUAAGGUCAAUUAAGAUCAACCUGACUUCUCUAUCGUGUCGACUUGCUUUCUCUUUUAAGAUCUCGUCUCGUAACGAAUAGUAGAAGAAAGAGACGAGGAACGCAAAUACAUUUAGAAUUCGUUUAGAUAGACAGAGAGAGAAAGAGAGAAAGAGAACGUCGUAUAGUCUAUCGUCCAACAUUCCUACAUUACCGAUACGUAAUUUCGUAAAGAGCCUUGAUGCGUCCCUGAUCGGGUGGUUCGCGUAGGUUAAGCGUCACACUUGGCCGCACCGCUCGUUUGCCUACGUACGAACACAGAAAUACACCUUCUCCGUGGGCGGUCGCACGAUGGCGCCUACUCGCGCAUACCUGAACACACCGAGUGAGUGAGAGAAAUAGAGUGAAAGAGAGGGAGGGAGAGAGAGAGAGAGAAAGAGAGAGCUUAAGAAACCUUUCCGUUAAGAGAACGUUUCUCUUCUUUUAUUACUCACGCACGAUCUCGUACGUGUGUUCGGCUCAUCUUCUUCUUCCCUUUCAUCUUCUUCCGCGAUAACACGUGGAAGAACCAAUGGAAAUAAUAUAACAA